rnacentral:rRNA from 1 species
GCCUACCCGCUGGAAUUUAAGCAUAUCAAUAAGCGGAGGAAAAGAAACCAACCGGGAUUGCCUUAGUAACGGCGAGUGAAGCGGCAAAAGCUCAAAUUUGAAAUCUGGUACCUUCGGUGCCCGAGUUGUAAUUUGGAGAGGGCAACUUUGGGGCCGUUCCUUGUCUAUGUUCCUUGGAACAGGACGUCAUAGAGGGUGAGAAUCCCGUGUGGCGAGGAGUGCGGUUCUUUGUAAAGUGCCUUCGAAGAGUCGAGUUGUUUGGGAAUGCAGCUCUAAGUGGGUGGUAAAUUCCAUCUAAAGCUAAAUAUUGGCGAGAGACCGAUAGCGAACAAGUACAGUGAUGGAAAGAUGAAAAGAACUUUGAAAAGAGAGUGAAAAAGUACGUGAAAUUGUUGAAAGGGAAGGGCAUUUGAUCAGACAUGGUGUUUUGUGCCCUCUGCUCCUUGUGGGUAGGGGAAUCUCGCAUUUCACUGGGCCAGCAUCAGUUUUGGUGGCAGGAUAAAUCCAUAGGAAUGUAGCUUGCCUCGGUAAGUAUUAUAGCCUGUGGGAAUACUGCCAGCUGGGACUGAGGACUGCGACGUAAGUCAAGGAUGCUUGCAUAG